CGCAUCUGUGCAUGCAGCAUAUCAAUAAGCGGAGGAAAAGAAACUAACAAGGAUUCCCCUAGUAACGGCGAGUGAAGCGGGAAGAGCUCAAAUUUGAAAUCUUAAAGGGUUUCCCUUUACGAAUUGUAGUUUAAAGAAGUGUUUUCUGUUGAGGUUUUGGUAAAAGUUCUUUGGAAUAGGACAUCAUAGAGGGUGAGAAUCCCGUAUUUGACCUUUACUUUCAACUUUGUGAUACACUUUCAAAGAGUCGGAUUGUUUGGGAAUGCAGUCCAAAAUGGGUGGUAAAUUUCAUCUAAAGCUAAGUAUUGGCGAGAGACCGAUAGAGAACAAGUACCGUGAGGGAAAGAUGAAAAGAACUUUGAAAAGAGAGUUAAACAGUACGUGAAAUUGUCAAAAGGGAAGCGUUUGACACCAGUGUUGUUUUUCUGAAAAUCAAUUAAAGAACUGUUUAUGCUAAGCUGUUUAGACUUUAUCAGCUAACUGUUUAGUUUUGAGCUUUUCUUUAAUGCACUUUUCAGUUAACAAGUCAACAUCAAUUUCUUUUGCUGUAAAAAAGCUUGAGGAAGGUGGCUUGAGAUUCGUCUUAAGUGUUUAUAGCCUCUUGCCUAUGCAGUCGGAGAGAUUGAGGUCUGCAGCGUAGAUCCUUCGGGGCUAAAUGCAUUUGUGCUAAGUUAUAGCAUUUUAUAGACAACUUGUUGACUAUGAUUUGUCUUGUAGCUUACUCGCUUAUGUUAUUUUACCUACGCUUAGGAUGUUGAAUCUGUGCGAGACUAC
rnacentral:rRNA from 1 species